AAUGCCCUUAGAGGCAUUGUAGGUAUGGCUGCUGUGUCACUUGUGUGUCAGUAGGUGACAGAGGCUAUGCCUAUGCUCAGUGCUCUGAUCAUGAUUAGUAGUCUAACACU
ensembl:snoRNA Gm24719 predicted gene, 24719